rnacentral:rRNA from 1 species
GACGAACGCUGGCGGCGUGCCCAAUACAUGCAAGUAGAACGCUGACGCAGGAGCUUGCUCUUCUGGAUGAGUUGCGAACGGGGGAGUAACGCGUAGGUAACCUGCCUGGUAGCGGGGGAUAACUAUUGGAAACGAUAGCUAAUACCGCAUAAGAUUAGAUCUUGCAUUACAUUCACUUGAACUUCGCAACUGCCUCACUACCAGAAGGCCCUGUGUUGUAUUAGGUAGUUGGUGGGGUAACGGCCUAACAAGGAGACGAUACAGAGGCUGCCUGAGGGGGUGGUCGGCCCAGCUGGGACCGGGACACGGCCCAGACUCCUACGGGAAGGAGCCAUAGGGAAACUUCGGCAAUGGACGGAAAUCUGACCGCAGAAAGCCGCGUUGGUGAAGAAGGUUCUCGGAUCGUAAAGCCCUGUUGUAAGAGAAGAAAGAGUGGGAGAGUGAAAAGUUCACACUGUGACGGUAGCUUACCAGAAAGCGACGGCUAACUACGUG